GGUUAAUGAUGUCAAUUUCUUAACCCAGUAGUUAUAUAUUAUAAAAUCAGGCAAGCCAACCACAAAUGGGCACUAAAAAUGGAAUGCUAACUUAAGUUUAUAUGUCAAUUUUACAUCUGUUGAUGUACCAAUACAACAGAGCUAUCUCUGGUAUGGUUCAAGCACUGGUGAUUCUGAUUCUCAGGCUUCAGGGGCAUACAUUUUCCGGCUUAAUGGGGCACCUCCAACUGUUGUUUGAAGAUUAGUAAGCACUUUCUUG